CCUACGGGAGGCAGCAGUGAGGAAUAUUGGUCAAUGGACGAGAGUCUGAACCAGCCAAGUAGCGUGAAGGAUGACUGCCCUAUGGGUUGUAAACUUCUUUUAUAUGGGAAUAAAAUGAUGCACGUGUGGGUUUUUGUAUGUAUCAUAUGAAUAAGGAUCGGCUAACUCCGUGCCAGCAGCCGCGGUAAUACGGAGGAUCCGAGCGUUAUCCGGAUUUAUUGGGUUUAAAGGGAGCGUAGAUGGGUUGUUAAGUCAGUUGUGAAAGUUUGCGGCUCAACCGUAAAAUUGCAGUUGAUACUGGCAGUCUUGAGUACAGUAGAGGUAGGCGGAAUUCGUGGUGUAGCGGUGAAAUGCUUAGAUAUCACGAAGAACUCCGAUUGCGAAGGCAGCUCACUGGACUGCAACUGACACUGAGGCUCGAAAGUGUGAGUAUCAAACAGGAUUAGAUACCCGAGUAGUC
rnacentral:rRNA from 1 species